rnacentral:rRNA from 4 species
AGACCCGAAACCCGGUGAUCUAGCCAUGGGCAGGUUGAAGGUUGGGUAACACUAACUGGAGGACCGAACCGACUAAUGUUGAAAAAUUAGCGGAUGACCUGUGGCUGGGGGUGAAAGGCCAAUCAAACCGGGAGAUAGCUGGUUCUCCCCGAAAGCUAUUUAGGUAGCGCCUCGUGAAUUCAUCUCCGGGGGUAGAGCACUGUUUCGGCUAGGGGGCCAUCCCGGCUUACCAACCCGAUGCAAACUGCGAAUACCGGAGAAUGUUAUCACGGGAGACACACGGCGGGUGCUAACGUCCGUCGUGAAGAGGGAAACAACCCAGACCGCCAGCUAAGGUCCCAAAGUCAUGGUUAAGUGGGAAACGAUGUGGGAAGGCCCAGACAGCCAGGAUGUUGGCUUAGAAGCAGCCAUCAUUUAAAGAAAGCGUAAUAGCUCACUGGUCGAGUCGGCCUGCGCGGAAGAUGUAACGGGGCUAAACCAUGCACCGAAGCUGCGGCAGCGACACUGUGUGUUGUUGGGUAGGGGAGCGUUCUGUAAGCCUGUGAAGGU